GGGCUGUUGCUCUCCCCUCUUUCCUGCCGGCAAUGAUCCCUGGGUAGCGUUGCUGGAUUCAGGGGUGGGGGUCAAUAACAGCAGCCAGGUAGAAGCUCAUGAUGCUGCUGGCUUUAAAGACCGCCCUUCCUUAGUCCUCUGGAGGUGAGGAGAGGGGGAGAGGGGAGCUGGAGUCCAGCAGGUGCUUGGCUGAGUCCUUCUGCCUGUUUGGCUGCCCCUGGGAUUAACCCUGUGGCUGGGAUUACCCUUCCUCAGGCUGCUGUGGGAAGAGCACCUGUUAUAACCGGAAACUGAAGGUAAGAUUAUUCUGAUGCAGUUGGAGCAGGGAAGUUGGAUCAGGUGGUGGUGCUGGCGUUUGGCAGGUGUAUUAGCCAUGGCUUCUUAAUUGACAGUUAUAAACACCUACCUCCAACCAGCUUAAGCCAAAAGGAGGGUUUGCGGACUUCUAGAGGCAAACAAGGCAAUUCAGGAGUUGUGGCAGACGCUACCAGUUGUUUACCCACUGUGCGUUCCCUCAGUCUUCUCCAUGUGCACAGUUAAGAAGACUCAGCUCUCCAGACUCCCUGGAGAUAGGAGUGGCCUCACGGCCCUUUUCUGAACACUGAGGUGUAAGCAGAAGUGUACAGUGUGGGACUACUGGGAAUCCUGACCAAAGGGGACACACUUAGCUGGCUCAUGCUUUUCGUCCUUCUUGUCUGGAACAUGGGUAAGAUGCCCAGAGAGGCAGCAGUCAUCUUGGGAGAUGAGAAGGAGAGGCAGCUGACGAGGGUGCUGGGACGAAAAGGGAGGAGGAGGCUGGGGCUUUGCUGUCGUCAUGAAGCCAGCAGACCAGAUCUCGCCUGUGGCCUGAGAAAAAUAAACUCCUACUUGGGUUAUUCUCUCAGAACCCUUGAUGGGGCAAAGGGCAGGGUACCAGCACCUCUGGAAUCCACGCUGAUAGCUUCCCACCAGGGGAAAGAGGGAGCUAUACCUCUGACUCCAAAUGGGAGGAAAAAGAACCUCCAAGGAAGAAUCUGAUUGGUGUGGCUUGGAGGCUACUCCUUGACCCAAUUACCAUGGACAAAAGGAUGAGGUGGAGAGGAUGGUUUCCCUGACUGGUGCCAACUGGGAGUCCUUCUGCGUAUGAGUCCACCUGAGCAGCUCUUGCCUGCCCUCUCCUGGGCACUGGUGGAUACAGCUAGCUGCUCUUCGGGAGCUGGAUAUAAACUGGUCACAGCCCGGCCUCACGAUAUGAAUUUGUCUUCUUAUAUUUGCCCCCCAAUCUCCUUUAAUUCCUUAAAAUCAGAAGAUUUUUUCUGAGCGACUACUGUGUGUCUCUGGUGAUAGCUAUGUGCAGAAAACACUCUGACUUUCCGCUGAUCGAGACAUUUUUCAUUGUGAGAUCUAAGUGCUACAUACAUGUCAGAACAUUAAUUUUUGUUAAUUUACAUGUCUAUCCUAUUUAUUUGUCUGAACUGAAGUCCUUUUAGUUUGUUUCAGCCAUCGAAGAGGUCAUGUGUUUGAACUUUAUAAAAAUGUAAGGCUUACAUAUUUAUAUUCCCCUGGAGAAUAGUUUUCCCAAGUAAUCACACACCCCAAUGCUUUUAUCAAAGUCCAGAAGUCUGCAAACGUGUUUUUAUUAUUCACAAUAGAAUCAAGGCAAUGCCCUAAUUAAUGAUUUUGCUAAGAGGUAAUUGCUGUUUAUAGGGAAUUCGGGCCUGUAGCAUGAAGCAGAAACCAUCCAUGGGGAUUUUGAUCUCAUAAAAUGAUGGAUACACAUCCCAGAAGAACACUGGACUGGUUUCUUGGCUUCACUGGAUUUAUUUUUUUCUGAGUCAGUGUUUUUUCUCCGGUCAAAGGCUAAAGCUUUACCUUCACAGAUAGGUUAGUGACUCUUAUUCAAAACCAGUGGAGGGGCCGGCCCGGUGGCUCAGUGGUUAAGUGUGCAUGUUCCGCUUUGGCAACCCCGGGUUCGCCAGUUCAGAUCUUAUUUCAUGUGCGGACAUGGCACUGCUUGGCAAGCCAUGCUGUGGUAGGCAUCCCGCAUAUAAAGUGGAGGAAGGCGGGCAUGGAUGUUAGCUCAGGGCCAGUCUUCCUCAGCAAAAAGAGGAGGAUUGGUGGCAGAUGUUAGCUCAGGGCUAGUCUUCCUCAAAAAAAAAAAAAAAAAAAAAAAGCAAAAGGCAAACAAAACAAAACCAGUAGACCCUGCAAUUUCUUCCCAGUGUCAAGUCCACGUCUUGUUUCCCUGGGUCCACAUUUGGAGUCCCUCCUUUCCCUCAUUCAUUCAAGUCCGGCCCAUCUCUCAAGAUUACUUCUAAUCUCUUUCCUUGGAGAGCCCUUCUCUGCAUCAUGAUUUCUCUCUCUUCUAAACAACAACUCUUCUGUAGUUGGUGCUAUUUAUUUAGCAAAUGUCAUGCAUUACUUUGUGACAUCUUUUUACUUUUAAAUGAAACAUUAUUUAUAAAUUUAUACUGUCACUUCACUUUACAGAAGUUUAUGUCCCAUGUCUUCCCUUGAAUAAUAAAAUCAUCAAUGCCAGAAACUGUAUCUUACACUUGGUUGUUUACCCCACAGAAUGUGCAACAUCUACUGCUGUAUAUUCAAUAGAUGAGCAGGAAGUGCUGUUGAUUGACGGGUUGUUGUGUCAUUUGCCUAUCCUAGCUCUAAUUAGUCUACUUUCCUGAGAACUAUUUACAAAAGACAGAUUGGCCCAGGCCAUCAUUAACACUUCCCUGAAAUGUUUUCAUGCAUUUAGAUGCUUUGCAAAAUGUAUUGCCCAAAUGGUGCUAUGUGUCUAUGUGUGCACACAACAAAGGGAAGCCAAAUUAAAAUCAUCCUUUUAAUUUAUUGUUGAUGCAUGUUCAUUUUAAAAUUUAGUUUUCAUUUUCAUCAAAGUUAUGCACUUAUAUAAUUUUAGGGAUUGUCCUACUCUGCUUGGGCUGCCAUAACAAAAUGCCAUAGACAGGGUGGCUUAAACAAUGACAUUUAUUUCUCACAGUUCUGGAGGCUGGGAAGUCCGAGAUGAAGGUGCCAGCAGAUUUGAAAGGUUCUCGGUGAUGUCUC
ensembl:lncRNA